GUCCUGGGCUUAGUUUCAGAAGGUCUCAGAUCACUGGCAGUCUUUCUACAAGAGUACUCCCAGGUAUAUUUCUAAGCAAUGUCCUUUCUCUUGUUGGGGGACGUUGGAGAACUUUUCUUCUUGGUGCCAUAUCAGCUUAAGGCUGGACUCAAAUACUGAAAUGCUCUGUCACUCAUCUUUGGCUCUCUAUCAGUUGUGCUGAGGCUCCACAGGAGGACCAGAUUUCUGUCACAAACCAGCAAUGGAAAACCAGGAUCUCAUCUACAGCUCAUACUUUUCAGCUUGUAUCAGACAACAGUGUUCCUUCACCAAGAUCUUAGGCAGAAUUUUCAGGCAUGGUGAAUGUGUAACAGGAAUAAGAGUUAGAAGACACCCAACACUACAAUGUUCCCAAUAAAGGGUACAUAGAAUUUAUGAAUCAUGGAGUUGCAGCAAAAGCCUGGGCAAAGGUCUUCCUCAGGUAGUAGACCUUAAGAGCUGUUAUAACUCCUUGAUCCAUUGGUUGGAUCAAAGAGGUGCUGUUUGGAGGAAGAAACACUGCUUUGAUAUUGGGAUGAAGAUCAUCAACCAAAGAAGCACGUCCAAGAGCAUUAUGGACAAUUAACGAAAUCUUGAAAG
rnacentral:lncRNA from 1 species